GACAGAGGUGCCGAGCGUUAGGCGGAAUCACUGGGCUUAAAGCGCGUGUAGGUGGCGGCCUAAGUACCUUGUGAAAUCCUGCGGCUCAACCGCAGAACUGCUUGGUAUACUGGGUCGCUUGAGUCAUCCAGGGGCAACUGGAACAAGCGGUGGAGCGGUGAAAUGCGUAGAGAUCGGAAAGAACACCAACGGCGAAAGCACUCUGCUGGGCCGACACUGACACUGAGAGACGAAAGCUAGGGGAGCGAAUGGG
rnacentral:rRNA from 1 species